rnacentral:rRNA from 1 species
AUGUUCGUCAAGAAGAGGCAGGCUAUUCAGCUUCCCAGCAUCUCCUUGUUCUCAAGUAUCAAGAAGAAUUCAGGAAAUAAGGUUCUAUGCACAUGCCUCUGCCAAAGGAUUGGCCCCAACCUCAUUUUUCCAUCGAAUCCAAUGAUUCUCCAUGACUUUACAAUCAGAUGCAUACCAAUAUUCAUGGUGACCACCAUAGUCACCACAGUUGUAAGACGAGCACCAAAUGUUGCCCUGAUAUUAUAUCAUUUUUGGGUCAUCUCUUGCUCGAGCGACUCGGCUAAAAUCUUGGUUCUACAAAUGCAAGAUUGUAAUUGCAACAACACAAGCAAGCGUCUCGCAAGUGGAGGUUAA